rnacentral:rRNA from 1 species
UACUAGAGUAGCACUCGCAUAUCAAUAAGCGGAGGAAAAGAAACUAACAAGGAUUCCCUUAGUAACGGCGAGUGAAGCGGGAAGAGCUCAAAUCUGAAAUCUUCAAGGUUUUACCUUGACGAAUUGUAGUUUAAAGAAGUGUUUUCGGUUAGAGGAGUUUGGUAAAAGUUCUUUGGAAUAGGACAUCAUAGAGGGUGAGAAUCCCGUAUUUGACCAUUACUUUCUAGCUGUGUGAUACACUUUCAAAGAGUCGGAUUGUUUGGGAAUGCAGUCCAAAAUGGGUGGUAAAUUUCAUCUAAAGCUAAAUAUUGGCGAGAGACCGAUAGCGAACGAGCUACCGUGAGGGAAAGAUGAAAAGAACUUUGAAAAGAGAGUUAAACAGUACGUGAAAUUGUCAAAAGGGAAGCGUUUGACACCAGUGUUGUUUUCUCGAAAAUCAAUUAAAAAUGACUGGAUUUUGUGUUGUAUUGACUUUAUCAGCUUUCUGCACUUUUUUCAUGUCUUUUUUAAUGCACUUUUCGUUUAACAGGUCAACAUCAAUUUCUUUUGUUGUAAAAGGGUUAUUGGAAGGUGGCUUUCUCUUCGGAGAAAGUGUUUAUAGCCUUUAACCUCUGCAAUCGGAGAGAUUGAGGUCUGCAGCGUAGAUCCUUCGGGGUUAGAUACGUAGAUGCUAAGUUAUAGUUUUUUAUAGACAACUUGUUGACUAUAAUUAAUCAUGUAGCUUACUCGUUUGCGCUAUUUUACCUACGCUUAGGAUGUUGAAGAUGUAGCACAUCAU